rnacentral:rRNA from 1 species
UACGAGUGGUCCAAGCGUUAUCCGGAAUUAUUGGGCGUAAAGAGUGCGUAGGUGGUAAUGUUAGUCAGUCGUUUAACCCCAGAGCUUAACUUUGGGAUUGCGAUUGAAACGGCAUAACUAGAAGAUAUGAGAGGUAUACGGAACUAUAUGUGUAGGGGUGAAAUCCGUUGAUAUAUAUGGGAACACCAAAUGCGAAGGCAGUAUACUGGCAUAUUCUUGACACUGAGGCACGAAAGCGUGGGUAGCGAAUGGG